GUCUGUAACAAAGUGUAAAGCCCUAUUUUUAUAGAAAGUACCAGCAGAGCUGAUUUGGUAAUUAAUCAGAGGGAUGAGGGCAUCACUGGCCAGGUAGCAGAGGCAAUCAAGAAUCAACUACAUGUGGGCCAGACCAGGAAGAAAAUUGCACAUGAUUCAACUCACGAGCUGCAAGAAUUGGUCAAGGGAUCAGAAAGAAGAGUCCAUAGAGAAGUGGAAAUCCCAUUGAGAUGGGAUAAUACGGCCAUGUGAAAUGGGAGAAUUUGAACUCACAGAUGGUUAUGCAGAAUAAGUAUCAAUGUUCAAAGGUCAAAAUAAAAUCACUUCUCUAAUUUUUUUAAAUUCUUUCAUGUGAUGCGAACAUCACUUCAAGGUCAGCAUUUGUUGCCCAUCCUAAUUGCCAUUGAGUGCUACAAAAUAAACGACUACAACAGUGAAACAAAAUGUGGAUAGCAGAGCAUUAAGUAAACAGUCUUUUCUGUCCACAAGAGUUGGAAGCAAAUAAAAGCAGAUGCAAUAAGAGACAAGGGUAGAAAUUAAAAUGUGUUGUGCCCAAUUUGCAUAAAAAAGCAUAACUGUUUGGUAGGUCUGCACUCAACCUGUGCAGAUCUCAUUCCUAUGCUAAAUUCACAUGGCUUAGUUUUUAAAACAUCUUUGCUGUUUAAAACAGGCCACUAGAAGAGCUUAACACCUACUGAAGGAACUUCAAACAUUUCCCACUCAGAUUUUCUGAUUCUGGAUGUGAACAAGUCAGCAGUCACGAAUGAAAGGUAAUUAAAUUCUUUUUUGUUCUUAUUAGGGAUCAGGCUGGAGCUGAAGUAUUCUCCCCAGUUCCACCAUACCUCUGUCUGCUGCUGUAGACCACCUCAACGCCUACUGACAUUCUCACUUGGGACGCAGCCGAGGGUCAGUUAAAUGCCAAAACCUCAAUCUGACUGAGGAAUGAGAUGCCUAUGGAGAUAUCCAGAAUAAUUAGAGAGAGGCAGGUGAAGGAGGAAGCCCCUGGCGGUGGCGGCAGCAACUUUAGGAUGAGCUGGAUACUGCUCCAGCCUGGCCUGGGGUCUCCAGGUGAGCGAGGAACAGCCCACCCCUCCCCACAGGCUCAGAUCUACAGGCUGAGCCGAAGCUCCUGGCUCGCAGUUAGGCCCGGGCACCUGAAGGAACAAAGCAUGGGUGAAAGGGAUGGCCGAUAACCAACAGUAGGAUCUGAAGGAGUGUCGGAUGUCUAACAGGGGGUACUGAGCUUCACCAGGCUCAUGGCUACAGCUCGGACACAGUAAUUGCAAUAAUGUCAGCGGCAGGGAGCCGUAGCCGAGACUCCAGAGCCCAGUACAGAAUCCCAGGAGAGUGAUUCAGAAACCCCGGACAAUGUCGAGCAGUGACUGGAGGAGAGGCAGAGGAGGAAUGAGAAGAGGAGAGAAAGAUGGACUUUAUUGCAGUAAAAUCUUGCAUUAUAUUCAACGUUUCACAAUAGUGACUGAGCGUGGUGAUACUUUUUGUAUAACACACGAAAAGACACUUUUCACGGUACUUUAAUGUACAUGUAGCAAUAAAUCUAAAUGU